rnacentral:lncRNA from 13 species
CUGAUAGCCAGUGACACAACUGUUUCUCUGUUCCCCCCUCCCUGCCCGCCCCCCCACCCCCUUUUUCUUAAGCUGUGGAUUAGCAGACUAUGGCCCACCGACCAAACCUGGCCUGCUGCCUGUUUUUGAAGAAAAGCUCAAGAGGAGAACAAGAAAAUAGUACUGGCUGGAUGUGUUCCUCAAGCCCAGCCUCGUCAGGACUACCUUAAAGGACUGAGUAUCAUUGGGCCAAUCACUCUUUGCAAAAUGCCCUGAAGUAGCUGAUAUUCAGCCAAUAUUCAUUGAUCAAAUGAUGGUGCUGUUUCCUUCCCAACAUUCUACUGAAGCUGUAGGUGGUAAGCUCAGCAAUGUUGUUUGUUUAAAAAGCUUACAUUAAUUUAAAUAAAU